ensembl:lncRNA
UAUCAAGAAAAGGGAAAAUACAUUGUGGAACAAAAGCUUAGAAUACCAGAAACUCAUCAGCUUAGUAAUGGAAUCACUGUUAGAUUUGCAGUGCCAAGGUUGAGGAGAAAGGGAAGAACUCAUCAAAAAAAGACCACCAGCUGCAGGAAGAUAAGCAUAAUUUCCAGAUGAAGAAAAAUCAUUUGAGUCCCGAAUUGAAGACAAAUCAAGUCGUUCAGAUGAAAUCUCGCACCCUAAUGUCUCAAAAAAGACUGAAAACACAGACAAUGAAGAGUCAGUCUACAGGUUCCGAACAGCAGCUGCACAGUCAGAGGAACCGAGUGGCACAGACAACCAAAGCGAUCCAGCAGUAACUGUAUUUGAUCAAGUUGACAGGGCGGCUAAUAAAACUGUUCCAGACCAAAAUAUACCUCACUUUGAGUUAGAGCCCACUGACUUGUCAUCAUUCAGAGGGCUGUCAAAUGUGGAUGUGUGUGCUCUGGAGUUAAUAGCAUCAGAAGAUGAGGAAGUUAACAAACAAGGACCAGCAGUUGCACACGAGGAGCUUGUCGAUUCAGGAGAAGAGGAAAAUACUGAAGUUGUAGAGCCAGUGGAAGUCAUUCAGUAUUCUGGCCUAGCUGAUGUGGAUGUGUGCGCUGCAGAGCUUGAAGGAACAGAGGGAACAAUGAAAGGAGCAACUGCUGAGAAUGUUACACGUGUUAGUGAAGAAAAUCUGAAACACCAGCCGGAGGACAUUCUUGUAAAAUCGUCAGUGGCUCGAGCUGAAAUCACUGAGAACAACCGAGAACAAGCAGAGGAUCAGCCAGACAAAGGAAACGAGGAAAGAACAGAGACUGAAGCUUAUUCUGGGGAGACUCAUGAAAGUGUAGCUCAUAGCAGGGGUAGCUUAGAUGGUAAUGUUAUUCCAAAGGAGGAUUCUUUGGUUGAAAUUAGCUUUGAAGAUGUUCCAGAAGCUCAGCAGAUUAGUAAGGCUGCGGAGAAACAGCCAGAGGAACAGAGUUCAACAAAUGCCUUACAGAUGGAUGUAUUAGAAAUGCGAGAGAAGGAAGAGUCAGAGGACACUACUGCAAUUCCAACUGGCCACUGUGAUGCUGAUACACAAGGCAGCCAUAAACAUGAAGCUGAAAAGGGAGUUAACAGGGC